rnacentral:rRNA from 1 species
UACGGGGGGGGUAAGCGUUGUUCGGAAUUACUGGGCGUAAAGGGCUCGUAGGCGGCCAACUAAGUCGGACGUGAAAUCCCUCAGCUUAACUGGGGAACUGCGUCUGAUACUGGAUGGCUUGGAUUUGGGAGAGGGAUGCGGAAUUCCAGGUGUAGCGGUGAAAUGCGUAGAUAUCUGGAGGAACACCGGUGGCGAAGGCGGCAUCCUGGACCGGUAUUGACGCUGAGGAGCGAAAGCCAGGGGAGCAAACGGG